rnacentral:tRNA from 1 species
CCGAGACUUGGGUCAGGGCGGAUUCCGCGUACUUGGCGCGGAGCGUGGUCAAGGACUGCUCGGCACUGACGAUCUUGGCGUCUGCUUCGGC